rnacentral:tRNA from 3 species
GGAACUGUGCCUGAAUGCCCAAGGACCACUUUGAUAGAGUGACUUAUAGGGGUUAAAACCCCCUCAGUUCCU